GACGAACCGUGCGAACGUUGUUCGGAAUCACUGGGCUUAAAGGGCGCGUAGGCGGGUUCCCAAGUCCGGGGUGAAAUCUUUCGGCCCAACCGGAAAAGUGCCUCGGAUACUGGGAGCCUUGAGGGAGGUAGGGGCGGAUGGAACUUCCGGUGGAGCGGUGAAAUGCGUUGAUAUCGGAAGGAACGCCGGUGGCGAAAGCGAUCCGCUGGACCUCUUCUGACGCUGAGGCGCGAAAGCCAGGGGAGCAAACGGG
rnacentral:rRNA from 1 species